UACGUAGGCAGCGAGCGUUGUUCGGAGUUACUGGGCGUAAAGAGUGCGUAGGCGGUUUUCUAAGUUUGGUGUGAAAUCUCCCGGCUCAACUGGGAGGGUGCGCCGAAGACUGGAAGGCUUGAGUAUGGGAGAGGUAAGCGGAAUUCCUGGUGUAGCGGUGAAAUGCGUAGAUAUCUGGAGGAACACCGGUGGCGAAGGCGGCGAUCCUGGACCGGCAUUGCACGCUGAGGCGCGAAAGCUAGGGGAGCAACGGG
rnacentral:rRNA from 1 species